rnacentral:rRNA from 1 species
UACGGAGGGUGCAAGCGUUAUCCGGAUUCACUGGGUUUAAAGGGUGCGUAGGUGGGUUGGUAAGUCAGUGGUGAAAUCCCCGAGCUUAACUUGGGAACUGCCAUUGAUACUAUCAGUCUUGAAUACCGUGGAGGUCAGCGGAAUAUGUCAUGUAGCGGUGAAAUGCUUAGAUAUGACAUAGAACACCAAUUGCGAAGGCAGCUGGCUACACGAGUAUUGACACUGAGGCACGAAAGCGUGGGGAGCGAACAGG